CCAUGUCACUUUACCACAACCUUCAACCUUAUUAUAACUACCCAAUAUGUGCUUCCGGAAAUAUCGAGGUUGUAUUUGUUGCAUGGGGGAGAAUAUAACUCAACAUUUCGAUCCGGGAAAGAUAGAUUACAUACACACACUUAAAUGUUUCUGGUUAGAUCUCCUGAACCUUAAGAACAAUCCAUACCAAAACGUUAACAUGUUCGCUUUUUUUCCUUACACUUCUAUUGUCAAGGCCUGCAAGUAUUAAUGUUAAUAUUUAAAGCCUUUUUAAGUUUUUUUUUUGAAUAAAUUUUAACCAUGGAGUUCCUCUAUCUCCAUAAUGCAUGCAAGUUGCCCAAGGCAUCUGCACUACCGGCCCAGUUGCCAGCAAUAUACCAAGUAGCUCUCCCCACCCUUGUGUGAGUAGGCCGGGAGAACAGUUAAAAGUCUACUGGUAGGCAGCAGAAGAUCUUGAACAAAAAGGUCCCACGAUCGAAUGUCUCAUGUUUUUCAUUUUUCUUGGCAAUAAUUAAGUGAAUAAUUAUUUAACUUUUUUUUAUCGGCAAUAAAACUUUUUUUUUAGUAUUUAAUAUACCUGGAUGUCCGUUCCAUAUGUUUGUUAAUUAAUUCUUCUUGAGUUCUAUUCUGAGAUUAAGGGUUAUGACUCAUGACAUGUCUCAAGGUUCACUGAGUAUUAUAUUUAGGAUAUUUAAAAAUCACUCACCAACUUGUUAAUGAAACUCACAUCCCGUGAAAUAUGAAUUAAAUUCUUAAUUAUUAGAUCCACCUUUGUUUGUUGGAUGAUAAAUAUAUUAUAAUUUUUAAGAAAAAUAGAAAUAAACUAUUUUAUAACUUUUUCUAGGAUAAUGAAUUAGUCGAGAAUGAAAGAAUUUCCUAUGCCAAACCUCACUUAAGUAAAAAAAAAUUAAAAGAUUGUUAAUUGUUACAUGUAAUAUGAAAAAUAGUUGACAUUUUUCAUUUAUGCAUGUGAUGAUCUAUCAUGGAAAUGUCCUAGAUCUAGUGAUAAAAAUGGUUAAGGGACACCCAUUUGCUUGUAGAGAGAAAGAAGGUAUAUAUAACAAGAAUGUGAUGUAAUAAGAAAAGAGAUAAAAGAAAAAUGAAGGAUGUGAAUUAAGUAUAUCAAUUGUGGGGUGUUCAUAUAUCUUACUCUUUGUAAUAAUGUUAGAAGCUCUGAUUAACGAAAAUAUGGGCAUAAUAUAUGAAAACCGAUCUAGAUUACUUCAGUUGCAAAAAGAAAGAGUGCACGAAAUACCAAAAUGUGAAAUGCGCGGUCACAACUUGUAGUGAUUCAAUGCAGUUUCAUGUUAUCAAAAUUAGAAGCGGCAUUGAUCGAGUUCGUGUUCUUCUGAUCUCAUGGAUUCGUGAGACUCUGCAUUAUGGGCAUCUUUCAAGCAUAGACUCUAUUUGAAAAAACUCAAGUCUCACAUUAGUCAGAUAUAAUGCUAAAGUAUACAAGUUUGGACAACUCUUAUCCUAUGAACUAAUUUUUUAGGUUGAGUUAGACUUAAAUUUACAUUCUAAGAAAUUCAACUGCAGAUGUGAUUGGCACGAGUUAGUGGAGAGAUGGAACCUUAGCAUGUCCAGUAUGGAGAUGGGAACACAAUUGCUUCAGCAAUCACUGCAUUUUCACACGAUGAUAUGUGCAAUGAGUCAUAGUUUUACUUUUCUCUACUCAUCAGUCACCAAGGGUUCAGCUCUGCCAUGGAUUUCCGAUGGCAUGAUCCAGGAUACAUCCAUUUAGCAUUUAUGACAGGACUUAAGCCUUCAAGCACUUUCUCUUACAGAUACGGAAGGUGGAGAGCUGAGCCUGAGAAGAUUUCAGUUUGGUUAUUUAAGAGAACAUGCUAAUGCUACUAGGGGAGAUUAAAUUUAAGAGGUUAGUGUUUACAUGCUUAUAUUUCUAUCUCAAUCGCCACCAUAGUAAGAGGAAAUGAGCAGGGUUAAGUUUAUAUAAUGUUUUACCGUUGAGUCUGUUUCUAUAUUGUUGUCUAUUCAUGAGGGAUUUCUUAGUGGAUCUUUUCUGCGCACUAUUUUUUCUUCAUAAAAAUUCCCUCAGAAGGAUUGGAAAGAAAAAAAAAAAAAAAAAGGAGAAACAGACUUCUCAUUUAAACAUGAAACGAGAAAGAGCAACGAAAUACAACACAAGGCCAAGUCUAAAUUACCUCUGCGAAAAGCAAAGGAUAGUCUCCAAAACAAUUUGUUGCAACAAUAUUAGGUAGCUUAUUAUUUAUCUAUAAAAAAAUAGCUUAAUUAUUUACAUAUUAAGUUCAGUCAAACUGUGACAUCAAUUGCAUCUUGGCGUCUUAGACACUGAUAAAUACCUGUUAUGUUGGCAUCAACCUAUUUCCAUAUACAAAGAUCAACGAUUUUCCCUUUCCUAGCAAAUUUAUCAUUUGCCUAGAAGAAUGAGCAUUUAUGGACAAAAUAAAUGUUGGACUAAUUAGAUGCGUGUUUGGUUAGAUACUACGAUGAAUUUAUCUCAUGGAGUCAUGGUAGAACUCGCUCCAAUAUAUAAGAUCUAUAAUUGUGUGGAUCAUCACUCUCCAAUUGCUUUUUCUCUCCUCUACUAGUGUUGUCACAAAAUAUAAAAUAUUGUUUAAGAGUGUAUAGUAAAUGGCAUUUGAUG